rnacentral:rRNA from 1 species
UACGUAGGUGGCGAGCGUUAUCCGGAAUUACUGGGUGUAAAGGGAGCGCAGGCGGGGCGACAAGUCAGCUGUGAAAACUAUGGGCUUAACUCAUAGACUGCAGUUGAAACUGUUGCUCUUGAGUGGAGUAGAGGCAAGCGGAAUUCCGAGUGUAGCGGUGAAAUGCGUAGAUAUUCGGAGGAACACCAGUGGCGAAGGCGGCUUGCUGGGCUCUAACUGACGCUGAGGCUCGAAAGUGUGGGGAGCGAACAGGAUUA